GACGAACGCUGGCGGCGUGCUUAACACAUGCAAGUCGAACGGAAAGGCCCUGCUUUUGUGGGGUGCUCGAGUGGCGAACGGGUGAGUAACACGUGAGUAACCUGCCCUUGACUUUGGGAUAACUUCAGGAAACUGGGGCUAAUACCGGAUAGGAGCUCCUGCUGCAUGGUGGGGGUUGGAAAGUUUCGACGGUUGGGGAUGGACUCGCGGCUUAUCAGCUUGUUGGUGGGGUAGUGGCUUACCAAGGCUUUGACGGGUAGCCGGCCUGAGAGGGUGACCGGCCACAUGGGGACUGAGAUACGGCCCAGACUCCUACGGGAGGCAGCAGUGGGGAAUAUUGCACAAUGGGCGGAAGCCUGAGGCAGCAACGCCGCGUGCGGGAGGACGGCCUUCGGGUUGGAAACCGCUUUCGCCUGUGACGAAGCGUGAGGGACGGGAAUGGGGAAAGAAGCACCGGCUAACUACGG
rnacentral:rRNA from 1 species